AAAUGUGUUGAACUGAGCCGCCAUUUUCGAGAACAUUUUGGAAACAUUACAUCCAGCGUGCUACGGCUUGCUCAAGGGAAAUCCCCUUUAGCAAAGCUGCACAAAGAAGCUAGAGAAGAAUCUCUCAUUGAAGACCAUCUUGUGACUCCUAAACUUUAUUUAGCACUUUAUUAAGCCUAUCAAAUUCUUGCCUUUGAUAGAGUUUUACAUAUUUGUUUGUGUAUCACAUUUUAUGUUCCAGGAAUUGAUUUUAAAGCAGCACUUCUCGUGUUGCCAGCCUUGUUCAGAGAAAAACUUGAACAUUUCAUUGUGCUUGGAGAGAGUGAACCAUCUUCACCAUAUCAUACUGUUCAAGUAGAGGAGACCACUGACUGGAAAACUGUGUUUACAAGAAGAGUCACUGCAGUCAUCAGAGUUGAUGGGAUCGAGAUAGAUGAACGGUGUGGAUGAAGGGGCUCUUGCAGCAUUUUGUGCUUAUUUCGUCUUCAAUUUGACAUAUCCAUCCCAUUUGAAGAACACCCUGGUGUUUCUUCAGUGGUAUGUUUUGAGAGUUACUGUGGAUGGUGACAAGCCUCUACCUACCCCAGUUACCAGAAUAAUCAACCUUCUUAACUCAACAUUCUUAACAUAGACACAGACUGGUUAUUGUGUGGCAAGCUUUUAAUUCCUGGGGUUUUUUUGUCGUCAUUUUUACUCAUACUGUGUGAAAUGAGAAUGAAUGGACUGUCCUCUUGCCAGGUGAAGAGGUUGAUUACCAGGCAUUAGAUACCUACAAUGUUGAUGACAAGUUAUUUAUUAGCACUAGAUAUUCUUGCUGAAGACAAACUGCUGCAAAACUUCAAAAUGUGCAGUACUUGAUGUAGCCUGUGUAAUAAGGCUGCUUUACUUGUUUGAGUUUUUCAUUGAAGAGCUAGUUUUUUCUUGACACGCUGUUGUGAGAUGUAAUGAAAUCUUUUUAAAAGAACAUUUCUAAAUAAAAUUGUGUAUUUGUCA